rnacentral:rRNA from 3 species
GGGUGACCUCAGAUCAGGUAGGGAUACCCGC